GGCAGAGUUUAGGUAUGGGUACCUUCUCGGGCUCAUCCCCCGAAUCUUGUUGGUUCGACUCCAACCUCUGCCC
rnacentral:tRNA from 1 species